AUUGAACGCUGGCGGCAUGCUUUACACAUGCAAGUCGAACGGUAACAGGCCGCAAGGUGCUGACGAGUGGCGAACGGGUGAGUAAUGCAUCGGAACGUGCCCAGUCGUGGGGGAUAACUGCUCGAAAGAGCAGCUAAUACCGCAUACGAUCUAUGGAUGAAAGCGGGGGACCGUACGGCCUCGCGCGAUUGGAGCGGCCGAUGUCAGAUUAGGUAGUUGGUGGGGUAAAGGCUCACCAAGCCAACGAUCUGUAGCUGGUCUGAGAGGACGACCAGCCACACUGGGACUGAGACACGGCCCAGACUCCUACGGGAGGCAGCAGUGGGGAAUUGUGGACAAUGGGGGCAACCCUGAUCCAGCAAUGCCGCGUGCAGGAAGAAGGCCUUCGGGUUGUAAACUGCUUCUGUACGGAACGAAACGGUCUGGGUUAAUACCCUGGGCUAAUGACGGUACCGUAAGAAUAAGCACCGGCUAACUACGUGCCAGCAGCCGCCGUAACAC
rnacentral:rRNA from 1 species